AAGCGCCAUAGAGAAUCCUUAAAACGCAAGUACUCAAAGUGGCCCCAAGAAAUAAAUCAGCAUAACAUAAAUCCUAACACGGUUUUUAUAUGCACAUGAAAAACAUGUGACUUGGCAGCCUCAAAUAAUCGUUUAUUUAACACUUCUUUUAGUACUGUAGUCAUUGCAUUAAAAGAAAAUUACACUCUGUUUUAUCAAUUAGGAUAACGCGAAUAUGAUAGUGUUGAUCACCUCAAUAUCAUUGUGGGCAUAUGGAUCAUAAAGUGCAUUAUUGGGAUGAUAGAACAUUGGAUGGAUGAUGUACCUUACCAUGCUUUUUUAGACUGUUAUCAUUUAAUGAAAACUUCUGCUCACAAAUCAGUGUUGGCUUGUUCUUGUUGUUAUAAUAUUCGAAGUCAUAACUGGAAAUGCGACUAUUUAGCUCUUCCAAGCUUUCAAAGAAACUGUGAUAUUCUUCUAACAAAACUACUGGAGAAAAAAUCAUCAAGAGGAAGAGAUGUCAUAGAGUUAUUGUGCGUAAGUGCAUAUACUGAUGUAAUAAC